rnacentral:tRNA from 1 species
GAGUCGAUGCGUAGCGUAGUGGUAGUGCGUUGUUGUUGCCAGUUGCAGGUCGUGGGUUCGAUUCCCCCUCGACCCA